rnacentral:rRNA from 1 species
GUGGGGAAUAUUGGACAAUGGGCGCAAGCCUGAUCCAGCCAUACCGCGUGGGUGAAGAAGGCCUUCGGGUUGUAAAGCCCUUUUGUUGGGAAAGAAAUCCUGUCGGUUAAUACCUGGCGGGGAUGACGGUACCCAAAGAAUAAGCACCGGCUAACUUCGUGCCAGCAGCCGCGGUAAUACGAAGGGUGCAAGCGUUACUCGGAAUUACUGGGCGUAAAGCGUGCGUAGGUGGUGGUUUAAGUCCGUUGUGAAAGCCCUGGGCUCAACCUGGGAAUUGCAGUGGAUACUGGAUAACUAGAGUGUGGUAGAGGGAUGCGGAAUUUCUGGUGUAGCAGUGAAAUGCGUAGAGAUCAGAAGGAACAUCCGUGGCGAAGGCGGCAUCCUGGGCCAACACUGACACUGAGGCACGAAAGCGUGGGGAGCAAACAGGAUUAGAAACCCUAGUAGUCC